rnacentral:rRNA from 1 species
AUUGAACGCUGGCGGCAGGCCUAACACAUGCAAGUCGAACGAGUGGCGGACGGGUGAGUAAUGUCUGGGAAACUGCCUGAUGGAGGGGGAUAACUACUGGAAACGGUAGCUAAUACCGCAUACCAUCAGAUGUGCCCAGAUGGGAUUAGCUUAUUGGUGGGGUAACGGCUCACCAAGGCGAGGAUCCCUAGCUGGUCUGAGAGGAUGAACCUGCACACGGGAACUGAGACACGGUCCAGACUCCUACGGGAGGCAGCAGUGGGGAAUAUUGCACAAGGGGCGCAAGCCUGAUGCAGCCAGGCCGCGUGUAUGAAGAAGGCCUUCGGGUUGUAAAGUACUUUCAGCGUGGAGGCGUUACCCGCAGAAGAAGCACCGGCGAACUCCGUGCCAGCAGCCGCGGUAAUUC